UCUUGAAAGCUCACGAUUCGACGAAAUCUUAGAAUAUUCAUCGGGGAAGGUCCGGGUUUGCCCAGCAAACAACGUGUAAGUUGGUUUGCUCGAGAGAGCACCAUCACAACUCAAAAAGUGGUGGUCCUACUUACCAGAAAUGACACUCGCUCUGUAUAUCUUUAUCUGUUACACUUUCUCCUCCUACAUAUAUACACUCUGGUAUAGGCUGUUUGCACAAGACAUAAAGGGUAGGCUUUUAUGGAUGCAAACCCCCCAUAUAUAUACAAAGAGUGUGUUAUGGAGAGGAGUGUAACUGGAACAGGAUAUAGAGCAAAGGUGGAACAAAUGGGUGGGUUGGGCAACUGCUUGUUGUGGGUUUUACAACAAGCAAAGUACAAUUCGUGAGGUCGUUGAUAUUCUCCUAUUAUCUGAGUAAGAGUUCUCUCUUUCUCUCUCUUCUUCCUAUCAAUGAUACAAGACUUUCUCUCCUAUCCAUUUCCUAUAUAGAUAGGAUAUGCAACGAUAACUGAAUCCGGACUACUCUUCAAGA
rnacentral:RNase_P_RNA from 1 species